CGAGAGCCACACCAGAGGCCAGAGCUGUGCUGUCGCAGCAAGCAAAGGGCAAAGGAGGCAACGAGAUGCUGUAGGGACUCUGACUCUUGCUGCCAGGCUGCAACAAGAGGAAGGGAGAGUCUGGCCCCCAACAGGUGAAAACAAGAGAGGAGCAAGGCAGGAAGCACAAAAGCAAACCUAUCUCAUGAAGGAAACAGCACAACUUCAAGCACAGUUUUAAGCACAGCAUACCAAGGAGGAACAGAAAUCCCAAGCAGAGCAAAGGGGAGGAGUGGCUUAGAGAAAAGCAAAAGCACCCCACAAAGGACACAGCCAAAACACCACCCCACAAAGGACACAGCCAACCUACCCCCGCAAAGGGGAUCAGCCAAAGGCUUCUGCCUCUCCUGGGGCAGCUUAAAAAGGGGAGGUCAAUUGAAGUCUCCUCCCACCCCAGCUGUGGCCACUUUGCCCUCCCUGCUCAGUGCCCUUUAUAAGCAGAGCAGGAGGAGCCCAGCCCCAAGCUGGGCCCAUUGCGGGCCAAGGGAUCCUCCGCCUGGCAUCCCAGGAGGUUGGAUCCUCGAAGGUUUUGCUCUGGGUUCUGCGAUGGAGGCAAAGAUGGAGCAGGAGCACUAACUGGAGCUGGUAACGGACCAGCAGCAGCAGCUGGUAAUGGAACUGGUAAUGGAGCAGAAGCUGGUAACGUAGAGUGGAGAGGAGGAGGAGGAGGAAAGCAGCAGAGACUGCCUGGGGGAAGGCAGAGAGUGGGGGCAGGACGGCAGGGGCUGCCCGGGGAAAGGUGGAGGGCAGCGGCAGGAGGGCAGGGAAGAGGUACAGAGCUUUCAGGUGCUGAGCUUCAACAGAAAGACCUGAUGGAAAAGAAAA